GACGAACGCUGGCGGCGUGCUUAACACAUGCAAGUCGAACGGAAAGGCCCUGCUUGCCGGGUACUCGAGUGGCGAACGGGUGAGUAACACGUGGGUGAUCUGCCCUUCACUUCGGAAUAAGCCUGGGAAACUGGGUCUAAUACCGGAUAGGAGCCAUUUUUAGUGUGAUGGUUGGAAAGUUUUUUCGGUGUAGGAUGAGCUCGCGGCCUAUCAGCUUGUUGGUGGGGUAAUGGCCUACCAAGGCGGCGACGGGUAGCCGGCCUGAGAGGGUGGACGGCCACAGUGGGACUGAGAUACGGCCCAGACUCCUACGGGAGGCAGCAGUGGGGAAUAUUGCACAAUGGGCGCAAGCCUGAUGCAGCGACGCCGCGGGGGGGAUGACGGCCUUCGGGUUGUAAACGCCUUUCGCUAGGGACGAAGCUUUUUGUGACGGUACCUAGAUAAGAAGCACCGGCUAACUACGUG
rnacentral:rRNA from 1 species